rfam:Picea glauca, whole genome shotgun sequence.
GAGAGCCGAAUGAAUCGAAAUAUUCGUGUUCGGUUUGGGAAGAGAUUAUGAAUUCGUUCAUUUUUUGAAUAGAUAAUAUACUUUCAU